rnacentral:rRNA from 1 species
GUUUGAUCCUGGCUCAGGACGAACGCUGGCGGCAUGCCUAAUACAUGCAAGUCGAGCGGACACAUGGAAGCUUGCUCCCUGAUGUCAGCGGCGGACGGGUGAGUAACACGUGGGUAACCUGCCUGUAAGACUGGGAUAACUCCGGGAAACCGGGGCUAAUACCGGAUGCUUGUUUGAACCGCAUGGUUCAAACAUAAAAGGUGGCUUCGGCUACCACUUACAGAUGGACCCGCGGCGCAUUAGCUAGUUGGUGAUGUAAUGGCUCACCAAGGCAACGAUGCGUAGCCGACCUGAGAGGGUGAUCGGCCACACUGGGACUGAGACACGGCCCAGACUCCUACGGGAGGCAGCAGUAGGGAAUCUUCCGCAAUGGACGAAAGUCUGACGGAGCAACGCCGCGUGAGUGAUGAAGGUUUUCGGAUCGUACAGCUCUGUUGUUAGGGAAGAACAAGUACCGUUCGAAUAGGGCGGUACCUUGACGGUACCUAACCAGAAAGCCACGGCUAACUACGUGCCAGCAGCCGCGGUAAUACGUAGGUGGCAAGCGUUGUCCGGAAUUAUUGGGCGUAAAGGGCUCGCAGGCGGUUCCUUAAGUCUGAUGUGAAAGCCCCCGGCUCAACCGGGGAGGGUCAUUGGAAACUGGGGAACUUGAGUGCAGAAGAGGAGAGUGGAAUUCCACGUGUAGCGGUGAAAUGCGUAGAGAUGUGGAGGAACACCAGUGGCGAAGGCGACUCUCUGGUCUGUAACUGACGCUGAGGAGCGAAAGCGUGG